GACGGAGGGUGCAAGCGUUGCUCGGAAUCAUUGGGCGUAAAGGGUGCGUAGGCGGCUUUUUAAGUCUGACGUGAAAGCCCAAGGCUCAGCCUUGGAAGUGCGACAGAAACUGAAAGGCUAGAGUGCCGGAGGGGAGAGUGGAAUUCCUGGUGUAGCGGUGAAAUGCGUAGAUAUCAGGAGGAAUACCGGUGGCGAAAGCGACUCUCUGGACGGUAACUGACGCUGAGGCACGAAAGCGUGGGGAGCAAACAGG
rnacentral:rRNA from 1 species